GUUAGUUAAUACCAUAUAUGGAAUACGUACGACAACCCUACCACAAUCUCAAUAACACUCUUGUGUGGCAGUAUACUUGCGUUAUAAAAGCUGUUGACGUUACUUGAUCACAUAGCCAUCGAGAUUGAGUGUAUGGACUGAUAAUAGAUUGAAAAUUCAGAAAGACAGGGAAGUACAGAGCUUCUUAGAAAGCAUUUACUUGAAGAUUGAUUGAUGAAAAGAUAGCGGCGGAGCCCUAAUGAAUAAGCUCAUGUUGUUCUAAAGGAGAACGAGAUCAACAAGUUACAAGGCUCACUAGAUGUUACGAAUUCUUUGGUAGAUGAAUUUAGGAACAAGGUACGAGAUCUAAGUGGAUUAUAUAUUCUGAUGAUUCGAUCACCGCUAUAGUUUUAGUUGGCUAAUUUUCUUAUCAUUUUCUCUAAGUCGAGGUUUAAAUCAGACGAGCUAGAGAAUCUUCGAGCUGAAGUCUCUUCUUAUAGGAGUAGGACAGAUAGGGAGCUUUUACAGGUAUGAACUUAAAAGCCGGACGGCGUUUUUCCGCGAAAUACAAGGUCCUCUUAAAAUGUAGGACAUGGAAAAUCUUAUGCCCUAACUCUUGGGUAUAUAGUUAAUUAAGUAAGUUAUAGGUUCUACAAAAAACAUAAAUACUGAAAGCAUUCAGUAGUAGUAUUGUAUAGAAUGCAUUAUAAAGCUGAGGCGUAUUUUUAGGCAAGUUUCAACUCUAAUGAAACGCAAGUUUUAAAAGAUAAGAUAAAAGAACUUGAAUCCAAAUUACAAGAGCAGAAAGCACAGGUAAAAAGUAGUUCAUAGAUGAGUCACCAGGGCUCGAAAUAACGGCCAGACAUAUGCAGGACAAGAUGUCCCUCUAAAUUCAAUUUUGGAAGGUUAUGUCGAAUUUUGA
rnacentral:misc_RNA from 1 species